AGUCGACGAUGAGCCCUUCGGGGUGGAUUAGUGGCGAACGGGUGAGUAACACGUGGGCAAUCUGCCCUUCACUCUGGGACAAGCCCUGGAAACGGGGUCUAAUACCGGAUAACACUUCUUCGGGCAUCUGAAGAGGUUAAAAGCUCCGGCGGUGAAGGAUGAGCCCGCGGCCUAUCAGCUUGUUGGUGGGGUAAUGGCCUACCAAGGCGACGACGGGUAGCCGGCCUGAGAGGGCGACCGGCCACACUGGGACUGAGACACGGCCCAGACUCCUACGGGAGGCAGCAGUGGGGAAUAUUGCACAAUGGGCGAAAGCCUGAUGCANCGACGCCGCGUGAGGGAUGACGGCCUUCUGGUUGUAAACCUCUUU
rnacentral:rRNA from 1 species